UUCUAGAAGCCUCAUUCCAUUGGUCUUUGAAAGAAAGGGAUCUCCAGAUAACCGGGGCACCGGGCCAUGCAAAACGAACUCACCAAAUGUGUCUGAAAUUUAAGGUGGAAAUGUGGCGACAGUUGUGGAAUGUCUGAGACAAAUACAGAAAUUACCUCGUUUUAUUGAAGAAAAUGUUUUGGGGUUUUACCAAAUCAAAAUCUGACUUUCAUUCGAGAUGCACAAUUGAGAGCAUCCUGUUGGGCUGUAUGACAACCUGGUUCGGGAACUGCUCCGCCCUCAAACGCGAAGGGGUGGUGCGGUAUGCACAACGCAUCACCGGGGACAAACUACCUGCCCUCCAUGACACCUACAGCACAGUCACAGGAAGGCCGAAAAGAUCAACCACCAGAGCCACUGCCUGUUCACCCCGUUAUCAUCCAGAAGGCGAGGAUGUCGGUGGGCGGAGCCAGGAGGGUCGUCAGCGAAAUGGGACACACCUGUGUUCGGGUGUGUCCGGAAUAAAUACAUAUUCCCUGUUAAUUGAGGAGACUCUCCAUGCAGACGCACUGUUGGGUUUUGAUUGUGGCCUUUUUUUUUGUGGCCACCAGUUGCAUUAAGUUCUGUAGUGCAUCUCCUCCUCAUGGACUGCACUACUGUAAAACACUACUGUGUUUUUGUCAAUGCCACUCCUACAUUGCUCAUCCUAAUAUUUAUAUAUUUCUUCCAUUAUUUAACUUUUAGAUUUGUGUGUGUAUUGUUGUGAAUUGUUAGAGAUUACUGCACUGUUGGAGCUAGGAACACAAGCAUUUCGCUACACCCGCAAUAUCAUCUGCUAAAUAUGUGUGUGUCCAAUAAAAUGUGAUUUG